rnacentral:rRNA from 1 species
UACCAGCUCUCCGAGUGGUGUGGAUGUUUAUUGGGCCUAAAGCAUCCGUAGCUGGCUGGGCAAGUCCCCUGUUAAAUCCACCGAUUUAAUCGUUGGAGUGCGGGGGAUACUGUUCGGCUAGGGGACGGGAGAGGCAGACGGUAUUUUCGGGGUAGGGGUGAAAUCCUAUAAUCCCGGGAAGACCACCAGUGGCGAAGGCUGUCUGCUAGAACGCGCCCGACGGUGAGGGAUGAAAGCUGGGGGGAACGAACCGGAUUAGAUACCCGGGUAGUCCCAGCUGUAAACGAUGCAGGCUAGGUGUUUGGGCGGCCACGUGCCGCUCUAGUGCCGCAGGGAAGCCGUUAAGCCUGCCGCCUGGGGAGUACGGCCGCAAGGCUGAAACUUAAAGGAAUUGGCGGGGGAGCACCACAAGGGGUGAAGCUUGCGGUUU